rnacentral:tRNA from 1 species
ACUAUUUUGGCAGAAACAAGUGCAAUAGAUUUAGAAUCUAUAAAUAUGAUUAUUAUCAUAGAUAGUA